rnacentral:rRNA from 1 species
AGAGUUUGAUCAUGGCUCAGAUUGAACGCUGGCGGCAUGCUUUACACAUGCAAGUCGAACGGGGUGAGGGGGCAACUCCUCACUCAGUGGCGGACGGGUGAGUAAUGCAUCGGAACGUAUCCCGUAGUGGGGGGACAACCCAGCGAAAGCUGGGCUAAUACCGCAUAUGCUCUACGGAGGAAAGUGGGGGACCUGCAAGGGCCUCACGCUAUGGGAGCGGCCGAUGUCCGAUUAGCUAGUUGGUGGGGUAAAGGCCCACCAAGGCGACGAUCGGUAGCUGGUCUGAGAGGAUGAUCAGCCACACUGGGACUGAGACACGGCCCAGACUCCUACGGGAGGCAGCAGUGGGGAAUUUUGGACAAUGGGGGCAACCCUGAUCCAGCCAUGCCGCGUGCGGGAAGAAGGCCUUCGGGUUGUAAACCGCUUUUGGUCGGGAAGAAAGGGCGCUGGAUAACACCUGGCGCUGUUGACGGUACCGGCAGAAUAAGCACCGGCUAACUACGUGCCAGCAGCCGCGGUAAUACGUAGGGUGCGAGCGUUAAUCGGAAUUACUGGGCGUAAAGCGUGCGCAGGCGGUGAGUUGUGUCUGAUGUGAAAGCCCCGGGCUUAACCUGGGAAUGGCAUUGGAAACUGGCUCGCUGGAGUGUGGCAGAGGGGGGUGGAAUUCCGCGUGUAGCAGUGAAUGCGUAGAGAUGCGGAGGAACACCGAUGGCGAAGGCAGCCCCCUGGGCCAACACUGACGCUCAGGCACGAAAGCGUGGGGAGCAAACAGGAUUAGAUACCCUAGUAGUCC